rnacentral:tRNA from 1 species
CAAGAUAUAGCUUAAACAAAGCAUCCAGUUUACACCUAGAAGACUUCA